CCCAAAUGCCUGCUCUGCUUUGCAGAGAGCAUUCUCAUGCAGCGCCAAGGCCGGGCUGAGGGAAAACCUGGGGAAAAUAAAACUGCCACAGCACAAAACUGGCUGGAAGGAGCCUCCUUUCUGCUCCCUGGGGGAUCAGCCCCCUGCACCCACCAUUUGGCCACUUGCAGGUUGAACCCCAGCUGUCCCUCCUUUAGCCCAGAUAAGCUGUCCCCACCUCUCCAUCCUCCCUUGCAGGACAGGUUCCCCUGGCCUUACAUCACCCUUCAGUGCUCUCUGCUGGGCUCCCACUGAUUAAUCUGUAUUUUUCUUGAAAAGCAGCACUCAAAAUGAGGCAGAAAGCACCAGCUGAGCCCUGGUCAUGCUGAGCAGAGCAGAAAGCCUGCCUCACCUAUGAUCUCCCUUCUCCCAGUGAGGUGUUUGCAGGUUUCACAGCCAAGCAUCACACGCAGCUUGAGUUGCUCCCAAGACCCAGAGGAUCUCUUUUUCCUUUUGUUCCCCUGUUUAGCUAAUGGUUCCUGGCCCGGGAUGCAUGCCCUUCAUUUCUACCUCAGGGCAGCACUUCACACUUUUACUUAUCCAACCAAGUCACCUUCUCUCACUCCUCACCCAAUCUGGCCAUGAGCACAUAGAAUCCCUGCCCUCCCUUGAGCUCUCGGUCACUCUGCUGCUUGACCCCUGGUCCAUCCCUGAGCAAUUCACCCAGACACUGAUCGGGGUGGCCCCGUGGACUCAGCAUGUCCUACCACAGGGCACCACUGGUGAUGGCUGGUGGGGUGAUCCUCUGCCCAUGUCAUAACCUACUAAAAGCCACCGUUCCUUAUCAUCUGCAGGAGAGUGCUGUGUGAGAUGGCACCAGAAGCCUCCCUAAGCGAAGAUAUAUGAUAUUCAUUGCCUCUCCACAAGGCUUAUUGCCCUGUCAUAGGAGGAAAUAAGCUCUGAGGCACCUGAGCAGCCGGUUUCAAAAGGAACAAGCCUGCUUUCUCUGCCCUGCCGCGAUUACACCCGUAGCAGACCAGUGCAUUCCAGUCCUCUAUGGAGCACAGCUCGUGGCCAGCCUUACUUAGCUGGCCUUGCUUCAAACUCUGCAGACAACCACUCAAACAGACCAGAGCUCAUAUUUUCCAUCCAUUUCUAAAAUUCAACACUGUACCAAUACCUCAGAGAUGCUGAUCUCCUACAGCUCUCAGAGAGGUCUCCAAAUCCAAUUCACGGUGGAAACCCAUGUGGAGCUCAUCACACAGGAAGGCAGUGGAGAAGGACUCAUG
rnacentral:lncRNA from 1 species